GAGACUCUGUGCGCGUGCAUAUCAAUAAGCGGAGGAAAAGAAACUAACAAGGAUUCCCUUAGUAACGGCGAGUGAAGCGGGAAGAGCUCAAAUUUGAAAUCUUCAAGGUUUUACCUUGACGAAUUGUAGUUUAUAGAAGUGUUUUCUGUUAGUAGAGUUUGGUAAAAGUUCUUUGGAAUAGGACAUCAUAGAGGGUGAGAAUCCCGUAUUUGACCGUUACUUUCCAGCUGUGUGAUACACUUUCAAAGAGUCGGAUUGUUUGGGAAUGCAGUCCAAAAUGGGUGGUAAAUUUCAUCUAAAGCUAAAUAUUGGCGAGAGACCGAUAGCGAACAAGUACCGUGAGGGAAAGAUGAAAAGAACUUUGAAAAGAGAGUUAAACAGUACGUGAAAUUGUCAAAAGGGAAGCGUUUGACACCAGUGUUGUUUAGUUGAAAAUCAAUUCAAUAGUCUUUGAUUCUAAGUAGUAUUGACUUCAUCAGCUUGCUGCUUUCUUCUCAGAAAUUAUUGAAUGCACUUUUCAGUUAACAAGUCAACAUCAAUUUCUUUUGUUGUAAAAGGGUAAGAGGAAGGUGGCUUGCGCUUCGGCUCAAGUGUUUAUAGCCUUUUAUCUCUGCAAUCGGAGAGAUUGAGGUCUGCAGCGUAGAUCCUUCGGGGUUAGAUACAUUGGUGCUAAGCUAUAGCCUUGUAUAGACAACUUGUUGACUAUGCUCAGUCAUGUAGCUUACUCGCUUAUGCUAUUUUACCUACGCUUAUGAUGUUGACAGCAGUAUAGACUGU
rnacentral:rRNA from 1 species